CCAAGGCGCAGCGUGUAAAGUGCUCAUAUAUUACUUUAAUGAAACACUAAAUCAAAACAACAAAACGACCGUCAACAGUUCCGUCAGGUUACAAGGAACAAAACAGAAAACAACUACCCACAAAACCCAAAGGAAAGACAGGCUGCCUAAGUAUGGUUCCUAAUCAGAGACAAGGAUAGACAGCUGCCUCUGGUUAGGAACCAUACUCGGCCCAACACAAAGAAAUUCAAAACAUAUAAUGCCCACCCCACACCCUGACCUAACCACAUAGAGAAACAAACCCUCUCUCUCAGGUCAGGGCGUAACAGCAUGACUGUGACGAUUACCAGGGAAGGGGCUGCGACAUGAUUGACACAUCCAGCGUCCACCGCCUUCCCUCCUCCAUGCUGCUCAAAGUAGGAUGUUACCAUUAGGGUGCAGUUUCUUUUUGGAGGCCUGAUUAGAUGCUUUCAAAAUCCUUUUAGUCUAAAAACACAAUUGAAAUGGGUUGGAUGUGGGUGGAUGCACAAUCUGUAAAUGUUAUUGUGUGUUCUGUUCCUCUCAGCUGUUCUCCCACUUGUCGGUGAAGGAGCGCUGUCUGUGUGCCUUGCUGGUCUGUAAGUACUGGCGGGGACCUCUGCUUAGACUUCCAGUUCUGGAAGCAAGUCGUUCUCAGUGGCCUACAAUGAGUAAAUGAUGACCUCCUGGUGAAGAUAGCAUCUCGGAAGCAGAAUGUGACGGAGUUGACCAUCUCAGACUGUUGUGGCGUGCAGGACCAAGGUGUACGUUCCUUGGCAACCCACUGCUCCAGCCUUCAGAGGUACACUGUAAACAGCUGAGUGACCUGUCUCUCAGCACCCUGGGCUCACACUGCCCUCUGCUGGCCAAGGUCCAUGUGGGCAACCAGGACAAUCUGACGGACGAAGCACUCAAAGUUGGGAGAGCACUGUUCAAAGCUGAAGGAUAUCCACCUGGGCCAGUGCUACAGUAUAACUGAUGAGGGGAUGGUGUCUCUGGCCAAGGGAUGUCCCAAGCUGCAGAGAAUCUACAUGCAGGAGAACAAAAUGGUGAGUUCCCUACCCAGAACUUAGGCGACAUCAGUGUUCAGUUG
rnacentral:lncRNA from 1 species